GGAGGAUAGACAGUAUUUGGGUCUCGAGGGAAUUGGUACAGAAUUUAAUUAAGUCUGAAAUUUGGCCUCGAACUUUAUCUGAUCAUAGUGCGGUUUCCAUGGAGUUAAAAGGUAGAGAGGUUAAAACAGCCAGAUGGAGAAUGAAUGAAUAUUUAUUCAAUGAUCAAAGGAUAGUAAAUAAGGCUAUAGAAACAAUUGAAGAAUACUUUAGGUGGAAUUUAAAUGGAGAAACUUCCAUAGAGAUGGUGUGGGACGCAGGAAAAGCGGUCAUGAGGGGUUUUUUGAUUCAGAAAAAUACCCAAUUAAGAAAAGAAAAAGAAAAAAAGAAAGAGCAGAUUUUAAUACAGAUUAUGGAAAAUGAAAGAAAAUUAACUGUUAACCCUAGUGAAGAGAGUUUAAAACAGAACUUAAAAAUACUACAAGCUAAAUUUGCUACAAUAAUUAACCAAGAGAUAGAGUGGAAAAUUAAAAGGAUGAAUCAAAAGAACUUUGAGUCCGCAAAUAAGAUAGGGAAAUAUCUAGCGUGGCAGUUGAGAGAAAGGAAGAAGUUGAAUACGAUCAGUAAAAUAAAAGAAGGAGAUAUGAUUAUGGAAGAACC